GCCGGGUGUGGUGACUCAUGCCUGUAAUCCUAGUGACUCAAGAGGCUGAGACAGGAAGAGCACAAGUUUGAGGCCAACUUCAGCAACUUAGUGAGACCCUGUCUCAA
rnacentral:sRNA from 1 species